UAUAUAUAUGUUUGAUUUAAUUUUUUUGAAAACAUAAAUAAUAAGUUAUAUAUAUAUAUGCUUGAUUUUUUUUUUGAAAACAUAAAUAAUAAGUUUUUUUUAAAAACAUAAAUAAUAAGUUAUUAUGCUGGUUUUUGAAUUAAAAAAAAUAAACUAAUAAAUAUUUGUAAAACGAUUAAGCCCGCAUAUGCGGGCAAGACACCUAGUUUCUCUAAUAGUCUACAACUGUUUUACAUUCUGUUAUUCACUUGCAUUACAUCUAUCAAUAUCUAGCUUAAUUCUAAUACUGAUAUUGGCCAAUGAUUUUAGCCUCUGUUGAUUUGAUCCCAUAAUUCUACACUACACCUUUUAAUUUGUAGAGUAACUUAUUAAAAAAAUCAACAUAUCAGUCAAGUCUUUCAACUGGUACACACACACACACACACACACAUAUAUAUAUAUAUAUAUAUAUAUAUAUAUAAAUACAAAAUGACAUAUUUUUUCCUUAAAUUCUAAUUAUAAUCAUAUAUAUAUAUGUAUAUAUAUUUAUGAAAUUAAAUGAUAUAUGUCACCAUCAUUUUUUCAUUUUAAGCUUAUAAUUUGGCAUAUUCCAGCAAGUGAUUUUCACCCGUUACGCAUAUAAAUUAAUAGAUCUUUAAUUUGUUGCCUAGCUAGUGGUUACUUCAUGAUCUUCUCAAAUUUAUUUUUUGAAAAAGGUUAGGUGAAUGGAUUUAUUAGUAAUUUCUGGACGGAACUCAACUCGUGACCUUCUUUUUUGAAAAUUAUCAACUCGUGACUUUCGUCGCAGAUAUAUCGAAAAUGCUAUCAUUAAAAGAAGUUGACCUAGAAAAACCCAACGGUAAAGUCUUUGUAAAUACUACAGUAAUAAAAUUUUCAUAAACUUCCGAAUCUCCACUGGAUCCUGUAAUUUGUUUUUUUUUUUUUUUGCAUCUCUGUCAGACGUUGCGCAGCCAUGUAUGUGUACGUUGGGUUACGCACCACUUCUGACGUCAUAACACAUCUUUCCUUAUCUUUUAUUAAAUGAAGUAUGAUUAUAUACAACUCGCACACAUAUGAGAACUACGAACAUUACUUACGACUUAAUUUGUCUCAACCCCACAAAUUUUGGAGUCGGAAUUAAGAUUAACUAGGGUUGUUGCGAGGCUGCGACAUGAUAUAAUUUAUGUGAAACUCAACACAUGAAGCAAUAUCAAGGUCUCUAGAGCCCACGAUCAACAUGUACAUGUAAUGAUCAACAUGUACAUGUAAUGUAAUCUGUGUAUGUACGUGGAAAGUUGUUUCAUGAGGCUGUGAUCUUUUAUAUCCAAGUCGUGGGAUGUUGUAACAGUCUCACCGUAAUAAAUGGUUGACUUAACCGCACAUGGAUGGUCUAGUGGUAGAGUGAUCUUGAGAAACUAAGUGAUAUGGAUUCAAAUCAAUCUAACGACAUUAAACUUGUGUGGUCACACAUAUAUAAAACCAUAUUUUAAACUUUAUUUAAAUAUUUAUUCGUAGGUUACACAUUUUCUUUGAAAUUAGUCUAAAUUUUUUUACAGAUGGACCAAAAAUAUAUGAAAUUUCAAAUAUAAGGUUUUACUAUUCAAAACUUUAUAAUUUGAAGUUUUAAAGCCGCUUUUAGAAUACAUAAAACCUUAUAUUAUUUGAGAUUAUAAUGAUGUUCUUGGAGAUGAUGUUCUUAGUUUGCUCAUAUAUAUGGAGGUGCUGUGGUUAACUUUAUCAUAAGCAAUCAGUUUAACACACUUUCACGAUAAUAUUUGUAUGUGAAAAAUCGUAAGUAAAUUUGUCUGAAAUAGAUUUGUGUUAAUAAUUAAAUCGUAUGUACGUAUAUAUCCACAGCUCAAGUUAGAGAUAGAUUUCCAUGGUACUAUUUUCAAACCUUUUGCCGUGAUUGUCCAGGUUUCGGUAUUUGUGCAUAUAGUAUUUUUUUUUUCUUCUUAUUCUUGAACAAACGGUGAAUCGCGCGUCGUAUUAUAUACCAAUGUCAAACUUAAAUUGCUUAAAUCUUAUUGGCUCUGUUGGAUGCAUCAUGCAUGUAUGUAUCACACUGUUAGACGUCAUUACGUGACGUUGUAUUGUGGAAAAUACCCCUCUUAAGACCUGACUUGCGUAACCGCAGCUGUUACGAUUGCAGAAGUUUGCGGAUGUAGGUGAUUGCGGCAGUUUUAAGAGAUUUCUACGAUUGGUACUGCGGUUAAAAAUUGAUGCGUUUGUGGGAUACUUAUGACUGGUAAAUCACCAAAUACAACACUGAUUAAAUAAUAAAUUAACAACAUUUAUAUUGUAUAUAAUUAUAAAAAUAUUAAACAACAUAGUAUUAUAAUACAUAUAAAAAUUAUAUUUAUUAAUUUUAAAAAUUAUAGAAAAUAUUUUUAUUUUUGAAAAUUAUAAUAUAAAUUAAAAUAUAAUAGAUAUAUUUUUGUAUUUCUAUUAUUUCAAUUUAAAAUUUUUAUUUUUAUUUUUGUAUUUAUAUUGUUUUUUUUAAAUAAGUUACCCUCCUCCAACCGUCCGCAAACGCUAGUUGAAAUCAACUUUUGAUUUUAAGAAGUUUAAAGCAGUUUGAAGUGGUUUAGAACGGUUUGAGUGAUUGUUGCAAAACGCCAACAACCGCAAAAGCUGCACUUGCGGAGGGUAGCGGAAAAACCAGUUGUGUCCUUAAAUAAUCAAAUACUUUCUCAACAAACAAACAAAAAAUUAAUAAACUAAAGUAUUUAUCAUAGGAUCAUGAUGUUAUCAACUAUAAUAUUUUUUUGUAACAGAUUUUGGCCUGGAAAUCUUUAUAAUUUGUUUUUCUAAUUUUCUUUUUGGCAAACCGUGAUGGCUAAGCUAAUAAUUGUAAUCAUAGUUGGGUUUUGAAAUUUUAUCUGGUUUUUGCAACGUGUUUAACUUCAUUGCUAUAUUUUUUUGAAAAAAGGCUGAAUUUCAUUGCUAUAUUGUUUAAUUACUAAAGUAUGAUAUGUGAGUAAAUCAAUGAGUAUUUUUUAACCGAGGUUUCUACUUCUGGUAGUAAAGGAUUCAUGGCUAUGAGUUUUGCCAUCCAAAUUCGAAUUCUGGCAACUGAAGAAUUUACAUGUAGAAUCCCAAUACCUGAAACCAAAGACCAUUCACGGUGAUCCACAUGAUGACCAGCAUAAACUAAGUCCUUGGUCAAUUCGAUCUUUAAUUUGGACCAUCUUAAUGGAAUUAGGACAUUAGGUUAUAAAAAAAAGUAUCUUUUCUCGUCUAAAGUGGAGUUGACUGGAUAAAAAAGCUAAGUCACCUUGUCGAAGUCACGUGCUUCCGACAAUGCAUUUAAAACACUAUAAAGGUAAGUCACCUUGUCGAAGUCACGUGCUUCCGACAAUGCAUUUAACACUGUACGGAUAGAAAUUAUAAAUUUGAUUGGAAAGCUUUAUGGAAAGACUUAUCAAAACAAAAACAAAAAAUCUGAUGGAAUAUCAUUACGGCGACGGGCGAGGUGAAACAAGCAAGCUUUUCAACGCUUUAGAGCAUCUCCAAUGUAUUACCCCAAAUUUUACUUUAAAAUUGUGUGAUUCCAAAAUAGAGUUAGGUUUUAUUCCAAUGUAUUACUUUAUUUUUUUACUUCAAACAAAAUAUUUAUUUUUUCAUUUAGUUAAUAAUUAUUAGUAGUACCUUCAACUUAUAAAAAUUUAACAAUUAACCCAACUACUUUAUGUUUACAAAAUUUCCAUAAUAAUAUAUUUUAUUUAAAUUCAAUAUUUAUCAUUAAAAUACAACUAGAGAUUACCUUCCAAUUUUAAUUCGUGCAGAUUUUAUCAUAUGGAAUUUUUCCAAUUCCAAAAUAUUUAUAUGCAUUAAAAGAACAUAAAGAAAAAACAAAGUUUUGUUUUGUAACUUGAAUCAUGUAUUGGGUCUUAUUGUUUGUGCAUAUAUCAAGUUCAACAAGUAUAAAUGUUAUCAAUCAAAAUUUUAACCCACAAGAUUAAAAAACUCAUCUAUUCCGUUUGAAUAAUACUUCACCGAUUUUGGUAGUUUCAAAAAUAAUUUACCGAAUUAAUUAUUAAAUUACUUAUUUAUAUUAUAUUAUAUUUAUUUUAUAUUAUUUACUCUUAGUUUUGACUUUUAUGAGUUUAUGCAUAUUUUGUGUAAACUAUAAAGUAAUCUUUUGCGGAGUAUUAUAUUUUUUCAUGUUAUUAUAUUAUUUUAAGUAUGAAAUAAAAAUUUUAAAAAUUAAAAGGAUCCUUUCAUAAAUAUAAAAAGUUCACCUCCAAAAUAGAGUAAUGGGUAAGAUUACUCUAUAAAUGGAGUAACCCUAGCCAUUACUCCAUUUUGGAGUUGAAUAUAGAGUGGGGUUGGAGAAGAUUUUACUCGAUAAUUGAGUUUACAGUCAAAAAUGGAGUAGGGUUGGAGAUGCCCUUAUGCCCCUUUGGAUCAGAUGAAAGGACUCUUUGUGAUUCUUGUGGUUUAAUUCAAUUAUUGCACUCUGUUUUCACUUAAUUUUUCCGGACUGUAAUAUUUAUAGGAUUAUGCAUUUUGUAAAAUCUUCGCAUCAUUAAUAUGAUAUUUAUUACAGUUUAGAAAAAAAGUGUUGUAGAAAAAGAACAUAUUUUUUUUUUAAAAUCAGUGGUUGGAAACCAAUUAUUCAAUGAAAACAGCAAAAUCUAGACAAAAUAUAGUUGAGUUUCACCAACUAACUAUACCAGUGUAAUGGUAAAAGAGUGUCUAUUAGGUAUUCUAUUACUCAGUAAAGAAAAAAAACAUGGCUAGGUUUCUAUUAAAAUGUUAACAAUGAAGGUGGAGAUGAGUUAAACACAAUUAUAUAAAAAAUAUAAGUGUUUCUCGGUUUGUUACUUGUCUCCUUUCAUGUUGUCUUCCUCGUUGUUGUCUUGCCGUUGAUAGUUUAUGCUCUUUUUGGUUUUCAAAAUAUGGUUUUUGGUGAUCUCACUUAUAUGCUUUAUUUCAUAACUCAAGGAUACCUCCACGGUUUGUUGAUUACGUUUUGAUUUUUUUUUCUCUGUUCUCUCAUUUUGUUGCACUUUUCAUCGAUGUUCGCGUCUCUGGUGACUUUCCCUUCAGCCGUUUUUUAUACUCCAGGUUUUGAUGAUGUUUUCCUCUGUGUAUGCUCUUUGGGCUUGAAAGGUUGUUCCUGGUCUAAAGCUUGAGCUCUGUUUAUCGGUUGUUGACUUCAAUCAUCCCUUCUUUAGGUUGUUUCUCUUCUUUCCCUGCUUCCCUUGGUAUAAGUGUGCGGAGCCACUCUAUUGGAGCUUUGGUCUCUUAUAUUCAGAGCUUUGUGGUUCUUCGCUGGGUGCCUUGUAUGUGCUUGUUUAGUUUGUUAGAUGUUUCUUACCUCUAGUGGUUUUGCUUUUGGUACUUUAAACAUGUGCGUUCAUGCUUUGUGGUGACUUUGGCCUUUCCGUGAGUUUUAUUCUUCUGGCCCAUUUUUUGGCUUUUUGCGUUGGUGCUUGAUCGUGUUCCUUUGUGUUAAGGGGGAUUAUUUUGUUUCAGAUUUUAUCUUUUUACCUUUUUCCGACAUAUGCUUGUUCUAGCCAAAACAUUAUUUGGUGAGAAGAGGUAAGUUAGUCUUCUUUGUUGAUUUCUUUUCAGUUCCGGACCUUUAUUGAGCUUCUAUUAUUGUGGUAUUUUGUUUUUUUCUCUGUAAUUGUGGAGGUUUUAGGUUUGGAUUAUGUGUUAUACUCUAGUUUAUUCUUCUUAGUUUGAUUAUUUUAUAAUUUCUAAUAAUAAAAUAAAUAUAUAAUUUGUAAAUAAAAUAACAGAAAACAGUAAAAAUAAUAAUUAGUGAAUAUUUAUGAUAAUUUGUAGUUGUGAAUAAACUAAAUAUUUAAAAUAUAUUUAUAUUAUUUUACUUAAUUCUUUCAUCUUGAAAUUUUGUGCCAAUAAAAUAUAUUAUCAAACUUAUAGUUAGUGCAAAAAUUAUUAGAUAAUGCACAAUCAGAAAGUAUUGCAUCAAAUUAUUAUAAUCUAAAAAAAAAUACCUAAAAUAUAAAGAGAAAGAAUACAUGGGGGACAUGUGUUGAAAAACCCUCAUGCUACUUAGUAGAAGAGGGAAUAAGCCAACUUUAUAUAUAUAUACAUAUAUAUAUAUAUAUAUAUAUAUAUAUAUAUAUAUUAUAGAUUUUUAAAAAAUAUUUAAAAUGAUUUGAUAUUAUUAAAUUAAUUUUAGAUUAGUCUUACUAUAAACUAUGUAACAGAUUUUAUUUUAUAUAUUUUUAUAAUUCCUUGAUUUUUAUGUUAAUUAAAAAAUAUUUGCACUAUAAACUUUUUUAAAAUAAUAUUCUUUUGUUUUAUUUUUGUUUUUAGCUACAUUAUUAUAUUUUGAAACAAAAGAGACUAUAAAAGUUUCCACUCAAUGACAGGUAGAUGUGAAGUACAUACGUAAAGUUGCGAACUCAAUUUUCCACCAUAAAAUGUUUGCCCUAUUCAAGUGAUUCAAAUGGCAGAACACACACACAUGUGUAUAUAUAUUAUAUUACAAAAAUAAAAAAUGUAUAUAUAUAUAUAUAUAUUACAAAAUGAAAGAAUAGACUGCCUGAAAUGGUACUAUAUAUAUGAAAUGAUAUAUUUCAGCAUCAAUUUUCAUAUUUUAGCUUAUAACUUGGCAUAUUCCUCCAAGUGUUUUUCACCGGAAUUACGCCUAUAAAUUAGCAGAUCUUUAUUUUGUUGCCUUAAGUCAGUGGGUCACUUCCAUGAUUUAAUUUUCCUUUUAGAAAUAAAGUUAGGCGAAUGGAUUAAUUAUAUUAGUAAUUUCUGGACGAAUCUCAUCACUGAUGUUGCAUAUAUAUCGAUAGGGGUUGGCACUUUAUCCGAUAUCCGAAGUGGUACCUGGAUCCGAUCCGAAAAAUCCGAACCGAAAUCUGAACCGAAGUAGCAAAAUAUCCGAACGGGUAUUAAAUUAGGAGAGAUUGGAUAUCCGAACCCGAACGAAUAAUACCUGAACCCGAAUGGAUAUCCAAAGAUAACCGAAUAUAUGCAUAAUUAACCUUAUAUUUCUAGUUUACAUCUCUCAUUUUAUAUAAAAUAUUUAUAUUGAUACUACACAUACUUUAAGUUCAUAUGAUAUACAUACAAUUACGGAAAAUAUGAUUUGCUACUCACUUAAAAUGUUUGUCAAGUUUUUAUUUCAAAAAUUAACAAAAAGUUACAUCCAAAAUUUAAAAAAAAGUAACUAAAUUAAUGCUUUUUUAGUUUUUAAAUGUUGUGUCCAAAUUUAUUAACCAUUCAAUCUAUUAAAAAUAAAUAAUUAGUUAAGUGAAAGAUAUAUUUUUAAAUACAAUAAAUUUGAGAAAUAAAAAUUUUAAUUUUUUUAUUCAAAAUCUAAAUAUCCGAACCCGAUCCGAAAUAACCGAAUCCGAACUAAAAAUACCCGAACCCGACCUGAAGUAUAAAAAUAUCCGAACGGAUUCUACACCUCUAUAUCGAAAUGCCCGAAAAUCCGAAAUACCCGAUCCGAACCCGAACAGAUACCCGAACACCCACCUCUAUAUAUCGAAAUUCUAUCAUUAAAAGAAGUUGACCUAAAAAUUCGAACGGGAAAAGUCUUUGUAAACAGCUUAAUAGUUUAUUUUGUAUGAUUCUAAUACGAGGAAAGAGGCCAAUUUUUUAGCCCUUUUUACAAAAAAGAAAAGAAAAGUCUUUGUAAUAAUAAUAAAAUACUAAAAAAUUUCCAUGAACUUGCGAAUCUCUACUCUAUCCUGUCUUCUUUCGCAUCUCUGUCAGCCACUGCAGUCACAUGUACGUUGCGUAACAAUGUAUCAUGACGUCACGGAGAGAGCUUGGCCUUCAUGAAUCAUGAUAGGUCUUAUCCUAAUGAAUGGAAAUGAUUAUAUACACUGAUUGGCGGAGCCAGAAAAUAUUUAUACCGAAGUCAUAAAAUUAAUUAAAUUAAAAUUUAAUCAAAAUUAAUUUAUUAAUACUAUUUUAAAAGUAUUUGUAACAUAUACUAUUAAACUGUUUGAAUUUUUUAAAAUUAUAUUUGGAAGAAGGUGUUUAAAAAUUAAUUGUUAAAUAAAGUAUUAAAAAGUGGAAAAUAAACAAAAUAAAUUUCAAAACAAGUAAAGAGCUGGAAGAAAAAAAUAUGUUGCAAAAGAAAUACAUUCUCUAUAAUGGAUGUUUUAAAGGUCUAAUGAGAAGCACAUGUAUGGGAAGCUCUCAUGAAAGGUGUUCUUAAAGAUCAAUACACGACCUCACAAAAGCUCAACUGAGGAAUCUAAGCUGACGGACAUCGCUUCAAGAAGAUAAGACACCGUCUUCAAUCAAUCCAAAAGAACUUCGAACUUCAUGAAUGAACGAGAAUCAUUUUUAUUGAUAAUGAUUAGCUUGAAGAUGAAACAACCUAACUGAAAGAAUAUCAAUUUUUUCAUUAACCACGGGAGAAAGAAGAUUUCGAAAGAUCAUAACGAGAGUCAGUGGAGCAAGGAAGGAUAGAAGCAACGAUCGAACCGAGCCGGCGUAACGACGCUAACUAAACCGACGUUUCCCAGAGACGAAGCCGGUGAAGCAGUGCUAUGGAAGCCACCGCUUCCCAGAAGCAGAAGCCCGAUACACGGGAGUCGAAGCCGGAUGAAGACCGGUGAGCAAAAGCUCCACCCCUGUAUACACUGGCACACAGAUGAUCGUGUUUAACUGAAGUAUUAGGCGCAGCGAUCUGAUCCCAAAACAGAGGAGAAUUACGAACGUUGCUUACACUGUUGGAACUAGUGGUGUGGUGUUCAACUCGGGUUUAGGUUCGUUUUUUUUUUUUAAUUUUGGAAUUUCAAUUUAUAAAAAUUAGUUAGCAUAUUAAAAUUAUAGCUACUUUGGUUUAGUUAGGUACUAAAAAAUCAUAAAUAUAUUUAUUAUUUAAAAUAUUUUAUGAGUUUUAGUUUAUAUGGUUAAAAAUCAAAUUUAUUAGAAUACAAAGAUAUUUUCAAUAAAUAAAAGAUAUUUUCAGUGCUAGCGAUUUUAAAUAAAUUUUUUAUCGUACUUAGUUAUUAUAAAAAUAAUGUAGAAAUAUAAAGCUAAUUAUGAUAAUUUCAUAAAAAAAGUUAGUAAUAUCAUAAUAUUAUUACAUAACUAAAAUUUGCCAUAAAUAUCUGUCAACAAAAUUAUAUUUUAUUUAAUUUGUAAAAAUAUACAAAUUUUAACUUAACAAAAAUAUCAAAUUAUUAAAAUCAACAUUUUAAAUAUCAAAAUCAUGUCAAUAAAAUAAAUAUGUAUAUAUAUAUAUAUAUACAUAUGAUCAAUUGUAUUAUAUAAUUUACCUAUAACUAUACUACUGUAUUUUAUUUAACCACAUCUAUGUACUACAGUUUUAGUAAUAACAUCCAUUCGAUUUACUUGGCAUUAUCAAUUUUGAACCACACUUUCUCUAUUUUACUAUUAUUUGGAAGUUUUUUUUUCUCUAAGAGUUAUCAUGUUAAAAAUUAGAUUGGUUAAAAUUAUUGUUACCAUUAAUGAAUAAUUAUGUUUUUAUUAGAUUAGGUAACUAAUUACAGAUUAAUAUAAUAAAAAUUGGGAAGAAGUAAAAAUAUAUUAAAAAGAUAAUUCCUGUAUAUAUAUUUUGUUGUUAUUCGAAAAACAUUCAAUCAUUAAAUUUUAAAAUAAAAUAAAAAAACAAAAGAUGCAUAAUUAAAAAUAAUCAAAUAAAAAUAAUGUUUUAUAUAAUUGAAAAGAGAAUAUUCCAUGAUUUCAAAAUUUUAUUUAUUAUUAAUGAAUAUAGUGUAUAAAGAGAUUUUUCAAAAUAUUUAUAAUAUGUGAGUUUCUAAGUAGUUUAAUGCAAUAACUUAAUCUGUAUGUAUCAUCAGCAGAACCCAAAAACUUCUUAUAAAAAAAAGAAAGCAACUCUAAACGUAAGAAUAUGUUAGCUGGUUUCCAAAACCGACAUUCAAGGUCACAGCCUCACAGGUUCUUGAUUUGUUCAGACUUCAGAACAAGAGAGCUGCAUAGUAACUGUUGUGGCAGAUCAGAGAUCAAUGCUCUCAAGUCAUCGGUACGAAACUUAGGUCACACGAAAUGAGGAAA